rnacentral:rRNA from 1 species
CCUACGGGUGGCAGCAGUGGGGAAUAUUGCACAAUGGGGGAAACCCUGAUGCAGCGACGCCGCGUGAAGGAAGAAGGAUUUCGGUAUGUAAACUUCUAUCAGCAGGGAAGAAAAUGACGGUACCUGACUAAGAAGCACCGGCUAACUACGUGCCAGCAGCCGCGGUAAUACGUAGGGGGCAAGCGUUACCCGGAUUUACUGGGUGUAAAGGGAGCGUAGGCGGGGGUGCAAGUCAGAUGUGAAAGCCUGGGGCUUAACUCCGGGACUGCUUUUGAAACUGUGUUGCUAGAGUGCAGGAGAGGUAAGUGGAAUUCCUAGUGUAGGGGUAAAAUGCGUAGAUAUUAAGAGGAACACCAGUGGCGAAGGCGACUUACUGGACUAUAAAUGACGCUGAGGCUCGAAAGCGUGGGGAGCAAACAGGAUUAGAUACCCCUGUAGUC